rnacentral:rRNA from 1 species
AGCUUGUUGGUAGGGUAAAAGCCUACCAAGGCUAUGAUCAGUAGCGGGUGUGAGAGCACGACCCGCCUCACAGGGACUGAGACACUGCCCUGACUCCUACGGGAGGCUGCAGUCGAGAAUCUUCCCCAAUGGCCGAAAGGCUGAGGGAGCGACGUCGCGUGAUUGAAGAAGCCCUUCGGGGUGUAAAAAUCUUUUGCAAAGGAAGAACUUUGACGGUACUUUGCGAAUGAGGGGUGGCUAAACUCGUGCCAGAAGCCUCGGUAAUACGAGUGCCCCAAACGUUAUCCGGAUUUAUUGGGCGUAAAGCGUCCGCAGGCUGUUUGAAAAGUUUUUGGUCAAAUUUUAGGGCUUAACUCUAAAACUGCCAAAAAAACUUUCAAACUAGAGAUCGGGAGAGGUUAGCGGAAUGGCCGGUGUAGGGGUCAAAUCCGUUAAUAUCGGCUAGAACACCAAAAGCGAAGGCAGCUAACUAGAACGAUUCUGACGCUCAUGGACGAAAGCGUGGGUAGCGAACGAGAUUAGAUACCUCGGUAGUCCACGCCGUAAACGAUGUGUACUUGGCAUUGGGAGUAUCGACCCUCUCAGUGUCGCCUCUAAGCAAGCUAACGCCUUAAGUACACCGCCUGAGGAGUACGAGCGCAAGCUUAAAACUCAAAGGAAUAGACGGGGACCCGCACAAGCGGUGGAUCAUGUGGUUUAAUUCGAUGGCACGCGGGAAACCUCACCAAGGCUUGACAUCUUCCGUAUGUCUCCUAAGAAAUUAGGAGUCCUUCAGGAAUGACAGGUGUUGCAUGGUUGCCGUCAGCAUGUGCAGUGAUGUGCACUCUUAACUGAGAUAACAUGCGCAACCCUCAUCCAGAGUUAUAAGUGUCUCUGGAAACUGCCCCUGCAAGGGGGAGGAAGGUGGGGAUGACGUCAAAUCAGCAUGGCCCUUACGCCUUGGGCAACACACAUGAUACAAUGGGGAGUACAAAGGGACGCCAAACCGCGAGGUGGAGCAAAUCCCUAUAAAACUCCUCUAAGUUCGGAUUGAAGUCUGCAACUCGACUUCAUGAAGCUGGAAUCGCUAGUAAACGUGUAUCAGAACGGCACGUUGAAUACGUUCUCGGGUCUUGUACUCACCGCCCGUCACACCAAGGGAGCCGGCAGUACCCAAAACGCCCCGGUUGGGGUUCUAAGGUAAGGCUGGUAACAUGUGAAGUCGUAACAAGGCAUCCGUAGCGGAAGCUGUGGAUG